rnacentral:tRNA from 1 species
GGGGGGGAUUGACUCGCUGCGCUCGCCCUUCGGGCAGUCUCCUCGCAAGCUCGUCGUCUGUCCAACUGGCUGCGCC